rnacentral:rRNA from 1 species
AGGAUGAACGCUGGCGGUAUGCCUAACACAUGCAAGUCGAACGGGUGUCUUCGGACAUUAGUGGCGGACGGGUGAGUAACGCGUGAGAAUCUGCCUUCAGGAUGGGGACAACAGUUGGAAACGACUGCUAAUACCCGAUAUGACGAAAGUUGAAAGAUUUAUCGCCUGGAGAUGAGCUCGCGUCAGAUUAGCUAGUUGGUGUGGUAAUGGCGCACCAAGGCGACGAUCUGUAGCUGGUCUGAGAGGAUGAGCAGCCACACUGGGAUUGAGACACGGCCCAGACUCCUACGGGAGGCAGCAGUGGGGAAUUUUCCGCAAUGGGCGCAAGCCUGACGGAGCAAUACCGCGUGAGGGAGGAAGGCUCUUGGGUCGUAAACCUCUUUUCUCAGGGAAGAACAAAAUGACGGUACCUGAGGAAUCAGCAUCGGCUAACUCCGUGCCAGCAGCCGC